rnacentral:rRNA from 1 species
GACGAACGCUGGCGGCGUGCUUAACACAUGCAAGUCGAGCGGAGCGGCGAACGGGUGAGUAACGCGUGAGUAACUUCCCCCCUCUCUUGGAUGACAGUUGGAAACGGCUGCUAAUACCGGAAAGGGGGGGAUGACUCGCGUCCUAUCUGCUUGUUGGUGUGGUAGUGGCCUACCAAGGGGACGACGGGUAGCCGGCCUGAGAGGGCGACCGGCCACAUUGUGCUAAGAGACGGCCCGAACUCCUACGGGAGGCAGCAGUGGGGAAUAUUGCACAAUGGGGGAAACCCUGACGUGGCAACGCCGCGUUGAGGAUGACACUUUUCGGAGCGUAAACUCCUUUUAGCAGGCGGUACCUGAUGAAUAAGCACCGGCUAACUCCGUGCCAGCAGCCGCGGUAAUAC